AGUCUUGAUGACCGGAAGGGAUUCCUUCCGGUCAUCGAGAUGUGGAGUCUUGAUGACCGGAGGAUGAGACUGUGGAGUCUUGAUGACCGGAAGGGAUUCCUUCCGGUCAUCGAGACU
rnacentral:miRNA from 1 species